ensembl:snoRNA SNORD16 Small nucleolar RNA SNORD16
UGCUAUGAUGGUGUAAUUUGCGUCCGACUCUGUGUUGAGCGACAGUUGCCUGCUGUCACAUGCUGGCACAGUUGUUUGAUGAAAGAAAAAGUCUGAGCA